UGCGAGAACAUACCAGCAGUUGAUCUUAGUCAGAGGGUAGGACAGGACAGGCUGACACCACCUUUGGAGAGACAGCUGAAAUUUGUCACAGAAUUUCGGACAAUGUGAAAUUUUGAAACUUCUUGACUGAAUAAAUGACCUGUACCAGUCUGGAUUACGGCACAUGGCAUUUUAAGUUUCAGCAAACACUGGAGAAUAAUUUUAGGGAGAAAAUGCUUGAAGACGUCCAGCAGUCCAUGUAGCUGCUGAACAGCUGGAGAGAGGGCGAACCUUUGUUGCCGAGUGAUCUGGGGAAAACAUGGGUGAAAACGAUGAUGAGAAGAACACCCAGGCUGGCCAGCUGUUUGAGAACUUUGUCCAGGCCUCCACAGGCAAAGGCACCAUCCAGGCCUUUAACAUCCUCUGCCGCCAACUUGAACUUGAUCCUCUGGACUUUAAAAGCUUCUAUGCGAAACUCAAGUCCAAGGUUACCACCUGGAAGGCCAAAGCCCUGUGGAAUAAACUUGACAAGAGAGCAAGUCAUAAAGAAUACAAAAAAGGAAAUGCCUGUACAGGUACAAAGUGUCUCAUUAUUGGAGGGGGACCCUGUGGUCUAAGGACAGCUAUAGAGCUGGCCUUACUCGGGGCUAAAGUGGUGGUGAUAGAGAAGAGAGACACCUUCUCUAGAAACAAUGUGCUUCACCUCUGGCCUUACACCAUCCAUGACCUGCGAGGACUGGGUGCUAAGAAGUUCUAUGGGAAGUUCUGUGCGGGAGCCAUAGACCAUAUCAGUAUUAGACAGCUUCAGCUCAUGCUGCUUAAAGUAGCCUUGCUUCUGGCAGUGGAGAUCCAUGUGAAUGUGGAGUUUGUGAAGCUCUUGGAACCUCCUGAAGAACAGGAAAAUGAAGGCCCCGGAUGGAGGGCAGAGAUCCGACCAGCCGAUCACCCUGUGGCGGAUUUUGACUUUGACGUGAUUGUGGGGGCAGACGGACGCCGAAACACCCUGGAAGGUUUCAGAAGAAAGGAGUUCCGUGGCAAGUUGGCUAUAGCAAUCACUGCCAACUUUAUAAAUAGAAACACGACUGCGGAGGCGAAGGUAGAAGAAAUUAGUGGUGUUGCUUUCAUCUUUAACCAGAAAUUCUUUCAGGAUCUCAAAGAAGAAACAGGAGUAGACCUGGAGAACAUUGUGUACUAUAAGGAUGACACUCAUUAUUUUGUCAUGACUGCUAAGAAGCAAAGUCUUCUGGACAAAGAAGUUAUCAUUCAUGACUACAUUGACACAGAGAAGCUUCUCAGCAGCAACAAUGUGAACCAAGAGGCGCUGCUCUCCUACGCUCGUGAAGCAGCCGACUUUGGUACAAACUAUCAGCUGCCAUCCCUUGAUUAUGCAAUAAAUCACUAUGGCCAACCUGAUGUGGCCAUGUUUGACUUCACCUGCAUGUAUGCCUCUGAGAACGCAGCCCUGGUCAGGGAAAGGUUUGGGCAUCAGCUGUUGGUUGCUCUUGUCGGGGACAGUUUGCUGGAGCCCUUCUGGCCCAUGGGAACUGGUUGUGCCCGCGGUUUCUUGGCUGCCUUUGACACAGCAUGGAUGGUGAAGAGCUGGGCAGAGGGUAAAGCCCCACUGGAGAUGCUGGCCGAGAGAGAAAGUGUUUAUAGAUUGCUGCCCCAGACAACCCCAGAAAACAUCACCAAAAAUUUUGAGCAGUACACCAUCGAUCCAGCAACUCGAUACCCAAACCUCAAUUCUAACUGUGUGAGGCCACUUCAGGUACGCCAUCUCUACAUCACUGGUGAGCUACAACCUUGUACCCUUGAAAGAGCAGCUUCAGUGAGAAGAUCUGUUAAUCUUUCUCGACAUGAAUCUGAAAUUCGACCCAACCGGCUUUUGACAUGGUGUCAGAAGCAGACAGAGGGCUACAGGAACGUGAUUGUCUCUGACCUCACCACUUCUUGGAAGAGUGGCCUGGCACUGUGUGCCCUAAUUCAUAGCUUCCGAGCUGACCUUGUUGACUUUGAUUCCCUCAAUGAGGAAGACUCAGCCAGAAACAACCAGCUGGCAUUCGACAUUGCCGAACAGGAGUUUGGCAUCCCUCCCGUAACCACAGGGAAGGAGAUGGCAGCUGACAGGGGGCCUGACAAGCUGAGCAUGGUCAUGUACCUCUCCAAGUUUUACGAGCUGUUCCAGGGCUCACCAGUACAGCCACCAGGAAUAAGAAGAAAAAUUAAAGAGGACAAUGAGCAAUGUCCAUCAAAGCCAGCCAACUCUGUUUACAGCAACUUGAUAACCCAAACUCUGCCAAGGAAACGGAUACCAAAGGUUGACAAAAAGUUGGAAGACAGUGAUUAUACGAGCAAAAGGAGGAGAAGGGGCUGCAAUCAUUUGGAAGAGGUUUGUUUGAAGCAUGCGACAAACCUUUCCAGUCAGAGCCCGUGCUCAGUGAGCGAGGGUGGAGAGGGGAAAGUGGGAGGGAAUCAGAACAAAGUAAAAUCCAUGGCUAAUCAGCUCAUCGCAAAGUUUGAAGAAAAUGCUCCAAGCUGUACUUUACGUCGACAGGUUGAGUCUGGUUCAAGUGCAAUAAAGCCACCAAAGCCUCCUUAUCUUGACAUGAUUGAGAACCCUCGCUUCGCCAAGCCUAUGGACCAAACUCCUGUUCCUCCACAGAAGAGGCAGUUACAGUCUUCAGCGAGUAUUCAAUAUGUGGUCGAAAGGACAGAGCAGCCAUUGCAGAGCACUGGGUACGCUCUGCCCAGGAAACCUAAACAGGCCGAUAAAGCACUUGUUGAAGCAGAAAGCACAGACUGCUCGGCUUCCUGUCGCUCCACUGUCUUAGCUGUGUCAGGAAUGCUUCAGCGCCUUCAGCGGGUUGAAGAAAAAGUCAAACAGCGGAAAGCUCAGUCUCAGUCUGCUAGGGAGUUUCACAAAAAAAGCGUUAAAGAGAAGGCUGCUCAUCUCUGUUCUCUGUUUGGGUACAUGGCUUUUCAACCUCAGAGUGCGCUGCCCGCUCCCAGCCUUUUACCAUCCCGGCCAAAAAACUCUUUGGCCUCUCCUUCCCCAGAAUCCUCCGCUGCUUCACCCUUUUCAUCUCAAACAUCAGCUCCAUCUUCUCAACGCCCUCCACAGGAUCUAGAUAAGCUGCUAUAUAGAACAGGUGAGCCCAGUGAACAGCCGAAAAGGAGGAAUGUGAACAAUGGAAAUGGUACCUCAUGUGUAAUCUUUCAGAACCCCAUUUUCGAAAAGCCCGAGUCUAAACAGACUCAGACAUUGAGUUCUUCAGGACAGAUGACUGUUGGAAAAGUGUCUUCAGUCAUUGGUGCAAUGGCUGAAGUUCUAGUCACCCUCUAUGAGAAUGAUCACAGGCCCAAAGCUUGUUGCACAUCUCCUGUGCUGGGGUCGAUGCGCAAGGAGUUCCCACAGAACCUCGGGGGCAGCGACACGUGCCACUUCUGUAAGAAGAGGGUUUACGUGAUGGAACGCCUCAGCACAGAGGGCAGGUUCUUCCACAGAGAGUGCUUCAGGUGUGACGUCUGCAACACCACCUUGCGCCUGGGUGCUUAUGCCUUUGAUGUGGAUGAAGGUAAAUUUUACUGCAAGCCUCAUUUCACUCAACGCAAGACCAGUGUCAAGCACAGGAAGAGGCGUGUAGAUCUAGAAAAGGAUGAGAAGGAGGUUGUGAAGCAGGAGGACUCUGGAACGUCUGCCCAGGAAGCAGCAAGCACUUACUCGGCCAUGGGAAGCCUGGAGAGCCGGCCCCCAGGUACCAUGACUUCCUUCCUUAGGAAAACCAUAAGCUGGCCGCUGCGUGUGACCCGGGAUGUGUUUGAUAUCCCCAGACGCCUGUCUCGCUGGAUGCAUGGUGCAGUGCACGCCACUGGCCUCCAUUUCAGGGACAAUGCCAAUGAUUAUACCUACUUGUAUGAGCUGUUAAGCCUAGGUGUGCCUCUUCUCUGCAUGCUCCAUGAGAUACUGGGGCACAUGUUCAUGGAAGCCGCACCUCCAACACUUGAAUAUGUGCUUGAAUGGGUGGAGAUGCAAUUAGGUGUGAAGCUUAACUAAAGUGCCACUGAGUACCAAAUGUGCCAUUCAGUAUUGGGUGAUGCUUGGUUUGAAUUGGACAUUGUAGCAUUCAUCACUGUUUCAUGAAAAUGACAUGGCCUUCUCUGAUGAUGUGCAUUGAUUACCUGCCAAAAAGACUAAAUCUUAGCUUUGAUCCACCCAAUACCCCCAUUCUUGAAGUUAAAAAAAACUUGAUGUAUUUCCAUUUAGAAGAAGCAGUAUAUCCCAGGCAAACAAAAUGCAGUUGGAUUGUAAUUUUCAAUAAGUAUGUAAAUUUUGAUUUAAUCUUGGCCUGACAUUUGUAUGCGCCUCUUAUACCUAAUCUUAGGCACUUUUAUUGCAGUUAUUGGAUGUGUUUAAGAAACAAUUUUAUCCUUCAGCAUUUCAAACUAGUAAAUUACAAAUCCAAUUGAAAACCAAGAUGUAAACCCAAUAAAUAGUUUAUGAUGAAAAGCUAAACGGAUUGCAACAGGUAACAUGCAUAGUCAGACAGUGAUCCAUAUCAUUUUUGAAAAUCUCAUAAAUGUUGUGGGUGUCCAGUUCAAACAGGGUCACCUGAUUUGGUCUUCUCUUUAUUUGAAUGCAGUCUUAGCCAACAAUAACACCUUCAGAGAAUUAUAAAGCUGUAAUAACAUUCAGAAUUGUUUAUCAAUGCUAUUCCAAAAUUCAUAAUUAAGAAAAAAGUAAUCAUAAUGCAUAGCAUUUGUUGCAGAAAAUUGCUUGCACAAUCAACACUUUUGUUAUGGUUAGGGUUUGAAUUGGGGUUAAGGUUUAAAAUAUGCAAUAUGUCUUUUUAUGAGUGUUAUUACAGCAUGGUUACAUAGCCUCUGUGAAGUUGUGUGGGCUACAUUUAAGAAUGCAUUCAAAUAUACAGUAGUGCUACCCCUGGUGUUACUGUAAUAGAGCUUAGCAAUCAAAUUAAUAGGUUUUAACAAACUAAGGGUGUCUUCCGUUUUUCAAUGCUUUGCUCAGGUUACAAUAGUCUAAAAAUCUUUUAAAAAGUAAAAAGGAUUUACUGAAUGCACUUUAAUUUUAGGCACUGUCCCAUUCUUUUAUUUAAAUGGGAAUGGAAGAGCUUUUUCUUAAUAUCGAGGGUUAAAAUAUGCAGUAAAUCUUUGUGAAUUCGGCCAUUACGCACACAGUUUACUAAACAUUAGAAACCUUUUUGUGCAAUGUGUAAUGCAUUCUUAUCCAUUUCCAAGGAAAAUGCCAAAAAGCCUAUAAAAGCCAUUCUCAGAAUCUCUUUUUAAAAAUGAAACAAAAGUUUACAUCUUUUUGUUCUCCAUAAUGCUGCCAUCAACAGAUUUUAAAUACCAUUGGUGAACAAAACAGUGCAUUUUUUGUAGCACAUUUGUUUUUUUAAUAUUGACAGUUGUUUUAGUAUUGACAAUAUUGUGACAAUUGAUUUUAAAAUUGAGGAUUUUCAAUUUUAAAUAACAUGCACAAUGCUCUCCAAUUUUUUAUUGAAUUUAUAUUGCUAUUGAUUUAGGUUCUUUUGAUACUUUUUGUAGUUUACACUCACAUUUACCAUGGUUUACAUUUUAUUACAUUAUUUGUUAAUACCAACAUGUAAGAUAUAGAAUAAUGUUUAUUGUUCAGCUUUACAUUCUGAAGAACAGAGUGCUAAAAAGGCCUGAAUACACUCAUUUUGGUCUGGUUUACAUUUUUAUGUUUAAGUUGCCUUUACAGCAACACUGGAUAUACAGGAGGUUUAAAUUCCAACUUUUUUUAUUCACAAAUGUUUCAAUUGUUUCUUGUUAUGCAAAUGACAGUGAUAGUUUUAGACUUGAAAACUUCCUGCAACAUCUCUAUUUCUAUAGCUUUACCUAACAAAAACGAGUUUCGUGUGGAUAGUUUUCUAAAUUACUGUUGAUAAAAAAAGAGAAAUAAAACAAGCACAAAAACAGAGAAAUUAAGAUUUUUAUCAAAUGUAUCAGACAGGAAUGUUCCAAAUUGUUCAGCUCCCCUCUGGAGGUUUUCCUUUGCUAAUUAUGUUUAAGUUCAAAUGCCAGAAUUAUUUGUACUGGCUGCUGCUUUUCUAAGCAUUUUUCAAAGAAUUCCAUUCCCAUGUUUUUUGACAUAUUGGCGGUGAAAAGAAUAGAAAACAAAUGCUGUCUUUUUAGUUAGACAUAUUUUGUAUCAGGCAGUUCGAUGCUUAUAUAGGCAGCUGCAAACCGAACUUUGACCAGCGUGUGGAGUAUAUAUCCAGAGAGCAGGAUGUGAUAAACCCUCUUUGGCAUUCAUAACUGCGCAGGCAGCAAUAGGUUGUAAUGCUUUUCUGUAAUUCCACCUCAUUUUUAAAAUUUUUCUAACCAAAUCAUUUCCUAAAUAAGCAUAUGUGCUAAUAACUUUGAAAGACAUAAUGUAAGGAUAUCAGGGUUUUUGUAAACAAAAUAAAUAUUGAACUGUACAUGCAAACAAAAUAAUAUGGACAUUUCUUUGUACUUCUUUAGAGCUGGUAGCACCUAAUUUUUUAUUUAAUAUCAGUUCUUUUGUGUGUUUCACUUUUUUAAUAUUCAUGUCAACAGAAGCACUGAAACUGUAGUGUUUUAGGUAGAUUGCAUCACUUCUUAGAAAACAGUGUGCAGUUGUGUGGAGAGAAUUAAUUAAAUUAUUUCACUCCUCACAUCCAUUGAAGGCUGACUGAUCUUAUUUUAUUCAUAUACCCCAAUGUAAUUUAAUAAGAAGUCAGAUUUCUUCAAAGGACCAAAAUCAGAUAUACAUAUUGAAUACAACCAGUCACAUCUAAGGAUCAUUCCAGUAUUUUGAAAAUCAUGUUUCUAUAAAUAGCUCCACGUCAAUUGGGAGUUGCAAAUCCAGAUUCUUACUUCUUGCAAUUCAUGGGAGCAGGUGUGUGUUUAAAGUUUUUAUACCAGGGUUUUCACCAAAGAAUUGUACCAAAUGCUUUGGAUACAAACAUCUCUACACUGGAAGAAAUUUAAAAGUUGUAAUUAAGAUUUUCAUUUUACUUUUUAUUGAUCUGUUUCCCGCUGUUGCUAACCAAAUUGUAUUGAAAUAUUCUCAGUGCAUUCAUUAUAAAGCUUUCUGUAUAAAUAGUGCUAGUUUUUUUUCUUUGUGUUAGUUUUUAUUUUAGUGCUGUAGUAGGAAGGUUUAAAUGUUUGUCAACAGUCAAGUAUGUUCAUACAUACUGUUAAGCAGGUUUUUGUUUUUAGUUGAAGGAAAGCAUUGGAAAUGAUUUAUAGGUAUUUCCUAGAUUUACCUUCUGUAUUGUACCUUCAGUUUGUCUUAGCUAAAAUUUGUUAUAAAAACACAGCAAGGAAACACCUGUGUAUAUCAUCUGCAAAUUGUUGUUUCAAUCUGCAAUCACAUUUGCUCUUGUGCAAAAAAACAGUAGGGUUUGUAUGUGUUUUGUAUUUUUUCUCAAUUGAAUCUUUCUGAUGUAGAUUCUCUUACUUUCCUUGAUUUGCCAGUGUAACUUAUCUGCUUUAACCACACUAAGCUUUCAUUUUUCUCUUUUUCUCUUUUCAAUCCUUCCAUUAUUUUAUUCCCUUUUUUACAAUUUGCUUGUAGUCUGUUUCAAGUUUCCAGCACUGCAACCUCUCAUUGGCUGAAAAACAAGUAACAAGAAUGAGCUUCUCUUUCAGAAAGCCACUCAAGAAUCUGUCUUAUUCUUCCUAAAAUUGCGGUUAAUAUUAUUCACAGGAUUUCAGUUUUACAUAUUUUACAAAUUCACCAUAGAGAGAUGUUUUGUAAAUUUAAAGUUGUAUUUAUAAAACAAAAUCACUUGCAAUACUGUAUUUUGCACAGUCAAAAAAAACUGUUUAGCUUUAUUUAUGAUAUUUAAAGCUGUAAGUAUAAAUAAAUGGAUACAAUUCUUUAUAAA